GAGGGAAAACGGGAAGAGAGAGAGCAGAGAGAAGAAGCAAGACUGCUACAUCUCUCAUACUGAACGCUGAGCACUGAUCACUAGAAAUCAUGUUCUACGUGCCACGCAGGAAGCUGUGUGAUGAGUGUGCACACACAGCGGCCAUCUGCUCGGGAGCUGGGCUCUGAGUCCCAGGGCCCCGUGCUGGGUCAGCACUCUCCACCACAGGCACUGGGAAGUGACUUUCUCUGUUUGCCACUCUCUCCUGUGUGCAAGCCUUUGCUUCUAGGAAAGAGGGAAGAAAUGGUCCAUGAAGUUUUAUGUGCCUUGAAAAAAACAGAAACAUCAUCAGAGAAAUUACAGACCAUGCUAUGGGCAGACUGCAGCAAAGAAGGGGCCUGUGGCCAGGCUGGCCUACUGCCUAUAAGAAGCAGAGAAGGCCAGUGGGGACAACAGAACCACAGCCUCAGAGGACUGGGACAAUUUGACCAAGUGUGGAGAAGCAAAAGCCUUACAGGAAAAGAAAAAGAUUUUUCGUGUCCUUCAGAUAUUUUGGAGGUCCUUCCUGUAACUAAAUGACUAGGAAAAUUAUACACCCAGCCCAAGUUUUCAUCCACAAGACAAGGAUGAAUGGUGCAAGAAUCAAGUGCCUGGGAACUAUGGAAGAGACAGGCAGUGGCCACCUGGUAACCACCAAAAACAAGCAAGAAGACAGAAGCCCUGGUUUGCUGGGCACAGCAAAAGGUUGGAAAGAGUUCGACUCUCUGAUGACAUCAUUAAGCACCUUACAUCUAUACCAGAAAUGGCCUCCAUCUGGUCUUCCUGAUACCUGAGAACAAGAAACACUUAUUUCUUUAAGGCAACUAAAUUAAUUCAUGCAAUACUCAUAGCCAAAAUUAUUACUAAGUGAUACAAUGACUGUCUUAUUUGAGAAUAGAGAAAUAGUAUCCUGGAUCAAUAGGAAUGAAGGGCCCAUGUAAGAGAUUCCCUGCUUCCAGGAAAAAGUAUCCUUAAAUCAUCUCUUCCAUUUAGUCCCUAUCAUUCAUGGCCAAACAUAAUGAUGCAGAAUUAUUCCUUAGAUGCUGAAUCCUUGGCCUCCACAGCCUCACUGUUUCUCACCAGCCAAUUCCCUCUAUUCCACAUCGCCCUUUAUUAUUUUCCAUCCAUUAAUCAUUUGCAUUGUUCAAGUUCACAAUAUUCCAAACUCUGCCCAUUUCAAUUAGAUACCAGGGUCACAGACAUAAGCCGGCAGCCCUGACCUGUGCAGGGCUAACCUCAGAGGCGGCUGGAUUCCUGCAGGCUCUAUUUCCAUGUAUGCCAUCUUGAGUCCAGGACUAGAUAAUUUCACUCAUCUAGAAAAUUAAGGUGAAUAAGAGAAUAGAAAACUGGAAUGGCAUAUGGUCUAGCUUCCUGAAUUUGUGUGAUUAUCCAUUAUCAAAUAGCAGGCACUGAGUUAUUAAGUCUAUUGACAGAUGCAAUGUAAUUUUCUUCAAACAGAUAACUGAUCCUGGAGCUGAUAGGAUUUGACUGUACCAUGCCCACUCCCUGAUAUUUUUAUCAUUCUUCACUUUCUUCAUUCCCUGCUCUAUGUUAUCAAAUUACCAGAAUAAAUAUAUACACAGAACUAAAGCAAUAUGGGAUGCCUUAAAUUUAUACUCAGGGCUCUCUUUAUUUAGUUACAUAAAAUUUUCUGACUGAGCAGCACUGCUUUCUAGUCUUGGGACAAAGAACAAUAAAAAUAAGUAGAAAAAUAACAAUGAAAUGUAUUCAUGGAAAAUACAAUGAAAUUGAAAUGAAA